CUCACACCUUGCAGACUUCACAUCCAUAUAGUAAAAUCCUUUUCACAUUCCUAUGCCAUUCACACUACCCCUUCUGUCAUCUGACCUCUGUGGGGGGUCCCAGCUUCAAAAGAUGUAACCCCUGUUGACCUCAGCAAUAGCAUCUCUGUAAUUUGUGCCAUUUACUACAAGAAAUCACAUUAAAAGAUGAUAUUCCAUAGUGUCAUAAUAAAUUAUACACCCUUGCCGUGACA